GACGAACGCUGGCGGCGUGCCUAAUACAUGCAAGUUGAGCGCUGAAGGUUGGUACUUGUACCGACUGGAUGAGCAGCGAACGGGUGAGUAACGCGUGUGGAAUCUGCCUUUGAGCGGGGGACCACAUUUGGAAACGAAUGCUAAUACCGCAUAAAAACUUUAAACACAGGUUUUAAGUUUGAAAGAUGCAAUUGCAUCACUCAAAGAUGAUCCCGCGUUGUAUUAGGUAGUUGGUGAGGUAACGGCUCACCAAGGCGGUGAUACAUAGCCGACCUGAGAGGGUGAGUGGCCACAUUGGGACGGGGACCCGGCCCAAACUCCCACAGGGGGGAGCAGUAGGGAAUCUUCGGCAAUGGGCGGAAAUCUGGACGAGCAACGCCGCGGGAGGGAAGAAGGUUUUCGGGUCGGAAAACUCUGUUGGUAGGGAAGAACGUUGGUUAGAGUGGAAAGCUCAUCAAGUGACGGUAACUACCCAGAAAGGAACGGCUAACUACGUG
rnacentral:rRNA from 1 species